rnacentral:rRNA from 1 species
GAAACCCUGACGCAGCAACGCCGCGUGAAUGAAGAAGGCCUUAGGGUUGUAAAGUUCUGUUUUCUGGGACGAUAAUGACGGUACCAGAGGAGGAAGCCACGGCUAACUACGUGCCAGCAGCCGCGGUAAUACGUAGGUGGCAAGCGUUGUCCGGAUUUACUGGGCGUAAAGGAUGCGUAGGCGGAUGUUUAAGUGAGAUGUGAAAUACCCGAGCUCAACUUGGGUGCUGCAUUUCAAACUGGAUAUCUAGAGUGCAGGAGAGGAAAGCGGAAUUCCUAGUGUAGCGGUGAAAUGCGUAGAGAUUAGGAAGAACACCAGUGGCGAAGGCGGCUUUCUGGACUGUAACUGACGCUGAGGCAUGAAAGCGUGGGGAGCAAACAGGAUUAGAUACCCUGGUAGUCC